CACCACUAUCACCAUCGUCAUCCACAAUUAGUAUUGAGGAACAGAGUGAACUAAUUUGUUCAAUUUCAGUGUGUUCCGUCGAUUUUUCUUUCCUCUCUCCAUUCUCGAUCUUUCUCCUUCCAUCGAACUCUUCUUUCUUGGAGAAUGUAUCAUUUUCAUCAAGUAACAGUACUGAUACCAGGCCAACCAACACAAAUUUAAACUGAAAUAGCAACCGAUUCUCCAUUUUCAGCGAUGAAUCAGUGAAUUAGGGUUUUCAAAAUUAAUUAGAAAUUCAAUUAGGGAUUGGAUAUUGAGAAAUUAAAGGAUGGGUUUGCAUAAUUUGAAGACCUGAAUUGAGAUUUGAACUCGAGCAAGGAAAAAGAGGAUUUAGGGUUGUAUUUUAAGGUUUCUGAGAAUCAGUGAUGGCGAUGAAGAAUUUAUUAGGUGUUGGUUGAAUUGAAAUGGGAAACUGUUGAUGGUCUUGAGAUGGGUAGCUGAUUUGAAUCAAAGUGAAUGAGCUAUUGAUAUCAGUUGCUUGAGUGGAACUAAUUUGAGGUAAUGGUUUUUCUUGGUUAACUGAGUAAAGUUAUAUAUAUUCAGUUCUGAGUUUACGUGAAUUGCUAAUGAAGUUGUAAUUGUAGUUAAGUUUGUGAAUUCAAGGGAUUGGUACAUAUUUGAGAUGAAACAGGAAUUUAGUUUUGAGUUUUGGAAUUGAUAAUGAAUUGCCUUUGCAUCAACACUUGAGAGUAAGGGCUUGAUAGUAUUUGUUAGCUGCACUGAAAUGGAAAUGAGUUGCAGGGGGUGUUUACAAGAUAUCAAUAUUAUGUAAUUGCAACAAUGUAAAAUUAAGACUAAGAGAGUGAUACAGAGACUGUAAUGGAGAUACAAGUUGAUAUGAUAUUGACACAUGAGCUGGUUCUUCAGGUGUUGGUUUUGUUUGUAAGAUGAUGGUCAGCAGCCCAAUAUUCUUGAGCAGCCGUCAAUGCUUUCCUAAGGGGCAAUCAUUACUCUGCCCAAGAACUCUCGUGGAAGGCACAUCCAGAGUGGAUGACUGCUGAAAGUCUGAAUUUUAAGGCAGCCCAAGAAAUUUGAAGUAUAAGGAAUCACAAAAAUGAUGUAUGGAAGCUAGACCUGCAUGGUUUGCAUGCAUCUGAAGCUGUUGACACCUUGAAAGAGCGUCUUUGGAGGAUUGCGACUCAGUUCCCACUUACUGUGCAUCCCAAUAAAGAUGUCAAACCAAUUGAUUCCAGUUGUUGCCUUAGCGUGGCCGGACAAAAAGAAAAAGAAGAGGGAAUGCCAUCACAGCUGAGAGUCGGAGACCAGGGGUUUACAAGUUAUAAUAGAUUUUCUUUAUUAGGGGAAUAUUCGAGUAAAACAUCACAUAGAUGAGAUAGAACAGGGAUCCCAUUUUUCACUAUGUUAUGGCAAUAUUUACCCAGUAGAUAUUGGAAAAAUAAUCACACAUUUUAUGAAUGAACAUCCAAUCGCUACCCACUUGAGUGGAGUGUCACGUUUAUGAAGAUCUCUCUUUCUAUACUGAUGUGAGAUUUUUGCCUUGCGUUCAUUAAUUAUAUUGAUGCAUCUUGUCUAUUUAGUUCUGGAUUGUGACUGCGUUUUCUUAAUGCAGAUGUUGUUUUUCCUUAAUUGGUGCUGAUGAUCUUUUCCAAUUGCAAAUGGUUGUUGUAUUAGAACCAUUAUCAACUUAAUACAAUUUUGGUGUUGUCUAAUAAUGGCAUCAGGUGGUAUUGAUUGUUAAAUGUCAGGGGAAAUU